AUUGAACGCUGGCGGCAGGCCUAACACAUGCAAGUCGAGCGGCAGCGGAAGGAAGCUUGCUUUCUUGCCGGCGAGCGGCGGACGGGUGAGUAAGGUAUGGGGAUCUGGCCGAAGGCGGGGGAUAACCACUGGAAACGGUGGCUAAUACCGCAUAAUCUCUAAGGAGCAAAGUGGGGGACCGUUCAGGCCUCACACCUUCGGAUGAACCCAUAUGCGAUUAGCUAGUAGGUGGGGUAAUGGCUCACCUAGGCGACGAUCUCUAGCGGGUCUGAGAGGAUGAUCUGCCACACUGGGACUGAGACACGGCCCAGACUCCUACGGGAGGCAGCAGUGGGGAAUAUUGCACAAUGGGCGCAAGCCUGAUGCAGCCAUGCCGCGUGUAUGAAGAAGGCCUUCGGGUUGUAAAGUACUUUCAGUCGUGAGGAAGGUGUUAAGGUUAAUAACCUUAGCAAUUGACGUUAGCGACAGAAGAAGCACCGGCUAACUCCGUGCCAGCCGCCGCAGUAA
rnacentral:rRNA from 1 species